rnacentral:tRNA from 1 species
GCCAGAGUGGCGAAAUUGGUAGACGCAUCGGAUUCAAAAUCCGACGGUAGAAAUACUGUGCCGGUUCAAGUCCGGCCUCUGGUACCA